AACGUAGGAGACGAGCGUUAUCCGGAUUUACUGGGCGUAAAGAGCGUGUAGGAGGCGGAUCAAGUUGGAUGUAAAAUCUCCCGGCUUAACUGGGAGGCGUCGUUCAAAACUGAUCAGCUAGAGUACUGUAGAGGUAAUCGGAACUCCGGGAGUAGCGGUGAAAUGCGUAGAUAUCCGGAAGAACACCAGAGGCGAAAGCGGAUUACUGGACAGAAACUGACACUGAGACGCGAAAGCCAGGGUAGCAAAC
rnacentral:rRNA from 1 species